CAGUAGCCGCGGGAAUACAGAGGAUUUAAGCGUUAUCCGGAAUGAUUGGGUGUAAAGGGUGUGCAGACGGCUUAUUAAGUCACUUGUUAAAUUCUUCGGCCUAACUGAAGGUCUGCAAGUGAUACUGAUGAGCUAGAGGGUGGAAGAGAGAAGUGGAAUUCUCGGAGUAGCGGUAAAAUGCGUAGGUCUCGAGAGGAACACCAAUGGCGAAGGCAGCUUCUUGGUCCAUUCCUGACGUUCAUACACGAAAGCGUGGGGAGCAAACAGGAUUAGAUACCCCUGUAGUCCCUGUCUCUUAUAC
rnacentral:rRNA from 1 species